rnacentral:lncRNA from 1 species
GGAAUCAUCUGCUAAACUACUAGAGAUGUGGCCUUUCCAUGUUGUACAGGCUGGUCUUGGACUCCUGGACUCAAAUGAUUCAACUGCCUUGGCCUCCUAAACUGUUGGGAAUACAGGCAUGAGCCACUGCGCCUGGCCCUAACAAAAAUUUUCAAAAAGGAUAUCAAAGAAUCUACUUGACCUGCAAUUGACAUAAAUGCCUCCUGAUAUGGUUUGUCUGUGUCCUGGCCCAAAUCUCAUCCUGAAUUGUAGCUCUCAUAAUUCCUACUUGUUGCGGCAGGGACCUGGUGGGAGGUGAUUGAAUCAUGAGGGUGGGUCUUUCUCAUGCUGUUCUUGUGAUAGCGAGUAAGUCUCACUAUAUCUGAUGGUUUUAUAAAGGGGAAUCCCCUCACACAAGCUCUCUUGCCUGACACCAUGCAAGACGUGACUUUGCUCCUCCUUUGCCUUUCACCAUGACUGUGAGGCCUCCCCAGCCACAUGAAACUGUGAGUCAAUUAAAUCUCUUUUCUUUGUAAAUUACUCAGUCUUGAGUAUGUCUUAAUAGCAGCAUGAGAACAGAAUAAUACACCUCCUAAAACAAACUUCAAUAUCCUUUAACAUAAUAGAACAAAAUCCAGUCAACAACGUAAUGUUCACCAUGUCUGUGUCUGGCACUUAAUAAUAAUAAUAAUAAAAUGCUACACAUGUGAAGUAGCAACAUUUU